AGUGAACGCUGGCGGUAGGCCUAACACAUGCAAGUCGAACGGCAGCACAGUAAGAGCUUGCUCUUACGGGUGGCGAGUGGCGGACGGGUGAGGAAUACAUCGGAAUCUACUUUUUCGUGGGUGAUAACGUAGGGAAACUUACGCUAAUACCGCAUACGACCUACGGGUGAAAGCAGGGGAUCUUCGGACCUUUCGCGAUUGAAUGAGCCGAUGUCGGAUUAGCUUGUUGGCGGGGUAAAGUCCCACCAAGGCGACGAUCCGUAGCUGGUCUGAGAGGAUGAUCAGCCACACUGGAACGGAGACACGGUCCAGACUCCUACGGGAGGCAGCAGUGGGGAAUAUUGGACAAUGGGCGCAAGCCUGAUCCAGCCAUACCGCGUGGGUGAAGAAGGCCUUCGGGUUGUAAAGCCCUUUUGUUGGGAAAGAAAAGCAGCAGGUUAAUACCCCGCUGUUCUGACGGUACCCAAAGAAUAAGCACCGGCUAACUUCGUG
rnacentral:rRNA from 1 species